rnacentral:rRNA from 1 species
GACGAACGCUGGCGGCGUGCUUAACACAUGCAAGUCGAACGGUAAGGCCCUUCGGGGUACACGUGUGGCGAACGGGUGAGUAACACGUGGGUGAUCUGCCCUGCACUUCGGGAUAAGCCUGGGAAACUGGGUCUAAUACCGGAUAGGACUCCGGACUGCAUGGUCUGGGGUGGAAAGCUUUUGCGGUGUGGGAUGGGCCCGCGGCCUAUCAGCUUGUUGGGGGGGUGAUGGCCUACCAAGGCGACGACGGGUAGCCGGCCUGAGAGGGUGACCGGCCACACUGGGACUGAGAUACGGCCCAGACUCCUACGGGAGGCAGCAGUGGGGAAUAUUGCACAAUGGGCGCAAGCCUGAUGCAGCGACGCCGCGUGAGGGAUGACGGCCUUCGGGUUGUAAACCUCUUUCAGCAUCGACGAAGCGAAAGUGACGGUAGGUGCAGAAGAAGGACCGGCCAACUACGUGCCAGCAGCCGCCGUAA